rnacentral:rRNA from 1 species
GACGAACGCUGGCGGCGUGCUUAACACAUGCAAGUCGAGCGGUAAGGCCCCUUCGGGGGUACACGAGCGGCGAACGGGUGAGUAACACGUGAGCAAUCUGCCCAUCACUUCGGGAUAACUCCGGGAAACCGAAGCUAAUACCGAAUACGACCACCUCUGGCAUCGGAUGGUGGUGGAAAGUUCCGGCGGUGAUGGAUGAGCUCGCGGCCUAUCAGCUUGUUGGUGGGGUAACGGCCUACCAAGGCUUCGACGGGUAGCCGGCCUGAGAGGGUGACCGGCCACACGGGGACUGAGACACGGCCCAGACUCCUACGGGAGGCAGCAGUGGGGAAUAUUGGACAAUGGGCGAAAGCCUGAUCCAGCAACGCCGCGUGAGGGAUGACGGCCUUCGGGUUGUAAACCUCUUUCAGCAGGGACGAAGCGCAAGUGACGGUACCUGCAGAAGAAGCACCGGCCAACUACGUGCCAGCCGCCGCCGUAAUAC